CCGGCAAAGGCGCGCUCUCGGCAAAGUCCCUGUCUCGGUAAGGAAGGCUCUUUACCGAGUGCCAGCUGGCCAGGCCCUCGGCAAAGCAAUCUUUGCCAAGUGUCUUACCUGGCUCUCGGCAAAGUAUUUUUAUUUUUUUGUUUUUUGUGCUGAGUUUUUUUUAUGGUGCUUUGUGUCACUAUUGCAAACUAUAUUUUAAAGUUUGGGAGAAAUUUGAGUUUUUUUGCUAUAUUUAACUGAUUUACUUUCUUUCUUUGUAUUUUUAGGAUAAAUCAAAUGUGAACUACAGGUACAUGAAAUGUCGCAACGCAGUGCUUCAAAAAAUAAUAUUCAUGGCAUUUGGUGUAUUUUGAGUUCGUAUGCAAGACCACACAUGAAAUCUCGACCAUCUCGCUGAGAUAACAUGUCAAGUUACGUGCGCAAAAAGUGGAUUAAAAUUAUAUAAAAUCCAUACAAAGUCCGAAAAUCAUGAAACUUGGCGAUGCGUCGUGUUAUCGUAUGUGGAAGUUAUGGUUAAAAUUUAAGAAGAUUUGGAGCAAGUUGCAACGUCGGAUGUCUAAAAUCCAGACAUCUCCACAUGUGAUAAAAAACAAAUAAAUAAUCUUUGCCGAGAGCCAGCCAUGAAGGCGCUCGGCAAAUAAUUUUUCAAAAAAACAAAAUAAUCUUUGCCAA
rnacentral:lncRNA from 1 species